GACGAACGUUGGCGGCGUGCUUAAUACAUGCAAGUCAACUGAAGCAGUGGUAGCAAUAUCGCUGUGGAGGUGGCGCACGGGUGAGUAACACGUAGGUAAUCUGCCUUCAGGUCUGGCAUAACUCCGGGAAACCGGGGCUAAUAGCAGAUGAUGCAGCGGCUCGACAUCGAGACAGUUGUUAAAGCUAUGGCGCCUGAAGAUGAGCCUGCGUCUGAUUAGCUAGUUGGCGGGGUAACGGCCCACCAAGGCAACGAUCAGUAGCUGGUCUGAGAGGAUGAUCAGCACCACUGGACCGGGGACAGGGCCCAGACUCCUCCGGGAGGCAGAAGUAAGGAAUAUUGUUCAAGGGGGGAAAUCCUGAAGCAGCAACGCCGCUUAAGGGCCGAAGGGCUUUUGCUUGAAAACCUCUGUGGUGAGGAAAAAAAAUCCCAAUCUUUGGGACAUGAUGGUAUCUCAAAAGUAAGCCCCGGCUAACUACGUG
rnacentral:rRNA from 1 species